GAACAGGCGCUUGGGGCAAUGACGCAGCUAGUGAGGUUCUAAAUGAGGCCCGUCUAUUGCUGGUUGAAAACUAUUUCCAAACCAAUCAACAACACAGAGCUGCGGAAUUGAAAGUGGUACUAUAGAGUAAGUUAUUUAAAUUUUGUCAUUUAUUUAAUUUAAAUAA
rnacentral:snRNA from 1 species